rnacentral:lncRNA from 1 species
AAAAGAGUGGAGAUGUAUGUGUUUUAAGCAUGUGCCUACUUUAGAUUGUCUUUUUUCUUUUAUUGGUUUUGUUAAAAAAAAAAAAAGGACAUUUAUUUCCCACACAAUCACAAAAAGGAAAGAAAGAAAGAAAAAGCUUGGCAAAGCAAUAUUUUGUAUUCAUUUCAGGAACUCUCAACCUGAUCGAGAAAAAUGAUGGAACAUCUUCUCGUCUUCAGGUGCCCAAGACGUAUUUAGUCCCUGAGAAUCGUCCUAAGAGAGGCAUUUUCCGGUUAGCCUGCAGCUUCAGGAAGACCCGGCACAGGAGAGAGGCUGGCAGAGCUGAAAGCUCAGAGGAUGACAUCGGACUUGCCGGGGCGCGUAGAGGACAGUGCUGGGCUGGCAAGACACUUGAGAACCCACCGUCUUGGGGCUCCUUAGCGUUUUUAUUGAGAGAAGAACAUCCCUGGCGAGUUCCCACAGGGGCCGGGGAGUCCGAGGACCAGGCGGGGCGGGGGCGGCCGGGAGCGGCCGGCUUUUCUUUUCCGCCAUAAAGGCCUUCACAAUGUCUGCUGGAAUCUCAACGGUUAAAGGGAGCUCGCUGCACAAAGGGGCGCUCUGGCUGUAAUCGGGAAAUAAAUUUGAUUUUCUGAAUCCUUUGGCAGCUGGUGACAAAGGGCCAGCUGAGUGAACACAAACAAUGGAGCUUACCCAAGAAGAAUGUUGAAAGUUGCCCUUGGUUGUUUCACCCAAGUUCAUCCGGCUGUUGAGAAGUGGCAGAGGAAAUAUGUCAGCCAGUGGUGUUGACAAAUGUUGGUUUACGGAGAGUUCGGCCAAGUUCAGAGGAUAUUUGACACGCAUGGCUCGCCACCCGCUUCUCAGGACCGGGAAAAAGGAACCACAAAUAUCUCAUCAUGUCCCUAUGCCUUGGUCUCCUCAUCUGUAAAAGAGAGUGACAAAGAACUAGCUCACCAUGUUUGAGGAUGCAGCAAGCUGGUAGAUUGGCCUUUGGGUUUCCGUGUUUCAGGACUCUUUGGGCCACAGGAUUGAAAGCAGGAGUUCUUCAAGAUCGUUCUCUCUCCCUUUCUGGCCUGGCAUUAGAGAAGAUUGUGCUAAUGGAGGAAGGAGGCAGCCGGGGGAGGCUGGGGAGCAGAAGGUGAGAGAAGGGGAGGGGGCAGAAAGCAGGCUGGAGAGGUUCUCUCAGACCUGAACUGUCCAGGUCCUUACUCCCUUCCCUCCCAGGGCCCCAGGGAGGAGGCAGAGCUUCCCUGGACCCAUGGACCCCCAUCUUCUGCAGAGGCCACGGCCCAGGAACAGGUGAGCGGCUGGCCUGUCAGGACCUUGGGCUGUGAGAACAUCAAUACCCAGAGGCCCUUCCAUGACCCCCAGGUGGGUAGUGCCACUGUGCUUCCAGGAUGAGCCUCGCUCACUU